AUUGAACGCUGGCGGCAUGCUUUACACAUGCAAGUCGAACGGUAACAGGCCGCAAGGUGCUGACGAGUGGCGAACGGGUGAGUAAUGCAUCGGAACGUGCCCAGUCGUGGGGGAUAACGCAGCGAAAGCUGUGCUAAUACCGCAUACGAUCUGUGGAUGAAAGCGGGGGACCUUCGGGCCUCGCGCGAUUGGAGCGGCCGAUGUCAGAUUAGGUAGUUGGUGGGGUAAAGGCUCACCAAGCCGACGAUCUGGAGCUGGUCUGAGAGGACGACCAGCCACACUGGGACGGGGACACGGCCCAGACUCCUACGGGAGGCAGCAGUGGGGAAUUUUGGACAAUGGGCGCAAGCCUGAUCCAGCAAUGCCGCGUGCAGGAAGAAGGCCUUCGGGUUGUAAACUGCUUUUGUACGGAGCGAAAAGGCUCCCUCUAAUACAGGGGGCUCAUGACGGUACCGUAAGAAUAAGCACCGGCUAACUACGUGCCAGCCGCCGCCGUAACAC
rnacentral:rRNA from 1 species